CACUUGAGCCCGAUAACUUCCGGUUCAAGAAAUCCGGAUGUACCACAACACACUUUCUGAGGCAGAACGUAAAAGGUAGAGCCACGUUUGGUAUCCGAGCUGCAGUGAGGCCUUCUUCAUGAAGCCUCUCCCAGUUCUCCGCCUCACCCCACCAAGCUGGAACUGAUCGCAGCCUCCAAACUCCCACAGCAAUCCUUUGCCUCCUCUUCUGACGCUACUCUUUCUCUCUUGGAUGAAAGCCGUGUGUAUCCAUGUUGGUUCUCCACUUCUAGAACCUGUCGUUUUGGGGCUGCAGGACUUGGUGGAUUCACACUGGCAUCCCCUCAGGAAGCAGGAAUCAUGUUUACAAAGCAUUCCCUUGGCAAGAGGCUGUCUAUAGGAUCCAGAUGGUCUGACCCCAAGUCAGAUGUCCUUUAUAACCUUGCUUUUAUGGUCCUCUGACCAGCAGCAUUAACAUCACCCUCACCUGGGAGCUCAUUAGGAAUGCAGAAUCUCGGGCCUCAUCCCUGAUCCACUGAAUUGGAAUCUGCAUCUUAACAAGAUCCUCAGGCAAUCUGUAAGCAUAUGCAUGGUUGAGAAGCACUGCUGUACAACACUUUGUAACAAUCUCUCUUGUCCAAGAGCGGGGACGAAGCUAGCUGUGAAAGCUAACACAGGUCUCAGGUGUUCUUCUUCCUGCAAGUGAGGGUUGGACAGCCCAAGCCAUGCUUCGCCUGGGCCCUGAGGAGGCCUCACCCCCCACUCCCCAUGGCAGCAACAUUCUCCUUGAGCCUUCCUUGGUGGUCCGAUGUCAGCAUCUUGCCAAUCCAGGCGAAGGCAUCAUGCCACACUGACAGAUGGCCCAAAGUAGGACAGACAGAAGAAAUGUAUGUUUAUCAAAUUUGGGUUGAAAAGACCACGUUCCCCCAGCAUAGGCUGUCAAACAGCUGUCAUUCAGGAGCAUAUGGCCCAGCGGUGAGAGGGCACAGACACAGCUAAUCCCACUCUUAGAGAGAUUAGCUCUGACGAGUGAAGAAAGUUGCGGCUGUCGCCAGGGUGCUGCCUGGGAGGAGAGGGUGGAGGGUCUGCAUUGUGGUUCAUUUCCCGAAUCACCUUCCCUGUGAUCGAGGCUCCUGUCUGCCAAAAAGAAGCCAGAAUGAAAUGA
rnacentral:lncRNA from 10 species